CCGGAGCCAGCCCCGCACCGCGUCCCGCACCGCACCGGGCUCCGCUCCCCGCUCCCGGCACCGCGCUCCUCUCCCGGCAAUGCCGGCUCUGCUGGCGCUGCUGGCCGCGGCGCUGCUGGCGCUGCUCGGGGCCGGACGAGCGGCCGCCCCCGGCUCCUGGGCUCCGCUGAAGCGCUGGGCCCUGGGCUGCCUCCUGCUCUGCCUCGGCGCCUGCCGGCAGCGAGCGGCCACAGGCACCGCCGAGCCCCGCCGGCCGCGCCCGCUCCGCGCCGACCCCCACGCUCUGGAUUCCCUGUACUUCACCGGCUUUGCAGAGACCAACAGCAGCUUUGUGAUCGCUCGCCUCGCCCGCCGUCCCGCUGGCCUGUGUGAGAUGUGGCUCUUCCUCAGGCUGGAUGGGAUAGGAGAGUUUGAACACCCACAGCACCCAAACAUGAUGGUGAGAGAUGAAUCCAAAGAGAUCUGGAGUGGAGGAGGACUCACUAUGGAAUACUUGGAGCCCCAAAUGUGCUGGAAGAUAAAUUUUGAUGGAUUGCUCAGGAAAGGAUCCUACAGACAGCAGUGGAGUGAGGAGGAAGGAGAGCUUGUACCAGUUAAAUUCUCUUUGCAGUGGGAGAACUCCACAGAUGUUUUUAACUUUAAUGUUGACAGUAACCCCAGCACAUUUGCUCGUGCUUUAGCCCAGGAGCCUUGGACCAUCGAGCUCUUCCAGAGGGUCAAAAAGCAAAGGGAGCAGCAUUUCCGACACGAGCAGUGGGGCCGGUCUGUUGGAGAGAUUGAAAUAGAAAAUUCUGGGAAAAUGGAACUUUCCCUCCAAGGCAUUCGGAGCCACUCCUAUGGUGUCCGGAACUGGGCUGAGAUUCGCCGUUAUGUGAUGAUUUUGGCACACUUUGAAGAUGGGACUGCAGCACAUUUAACAGUUAUCAGCAUGCCAGCUACCACAACUCACCUCACUGUAGGUUAUGUGUUUUUUCCUGAUGGGAGGAAGGCUGGCAUUGAGUGGUCCAACGCCUCCCUGGCUGAGCUGGCUGAGGAUGGGCUGAUCCAGGAGGAGUAUGGAAUCAGUUUUACUGCUGGUGGCAAGAGCUUUGAUGUUUCUGCAGCUCUGGAUAAGCAGGCCUGCCCCGUGGUGUACAAUGGCCUGACAGGGAGAGGAGUUUUCCACGAGUGCAUUGCAGAUUUCCAACUCAAUGGGCUAACACCAGGCUGGGGCCUGGUUGAAUUUUAUUACAGGGACGAGCCUGCCCAGCCAUUUCCAAACCUGCAGCUUGGUUCCAGAGCAGAGGGCCCUGACCCUGCCACUGAUGCUUCUCCCUCAUGAUCAUCUACAGGCUCGUCCCAGCAAUGCUAGCAAGCAGCAGCUUUCCAAGAAAAUGUAAUUCCCUGCAAAAACCAGCACUGGUUUGAGUGUAGAGCUCAUCACAGGAUGCCGGGGAGGUCAAGGGUAUAAAAGGAUUUGGAGAGAAAUGAGAUCUAUUUUUAUUAGUGCAGCUUUCAGUUGCUAACCAGGGUGGUCUGGAGGCAAUUUGAAGGAAGUCUGAUUGCAGGAGGAAUGCACUGGGAGGGAUCAUUCCAUGCUCUGUCCUUUGGUGUUUUUCCUAAACUUCCAGCUGCUCCCCACCGUGACGACCAGGACCUCAGGCUACGUGGAUCACUGACCCAAUUUAGCAGCU